UAAAAUUUGGGAUUAAUUUCCCGUUUAGAUUGAAUAU
rnacentral:guide_RNA from 1 species